rnacentral:rRNA from 1 species
ACGCACGCUGGCGGCGUGCUUCACACCUGCAAGUCGAACGGAAAGGCCCUGCUUUUGUGGGGUGCUCGAGUGGCGAACGGGUGAGUAACACGUGAGUAACCUGCCCUUGACUUUGGGAUAACUUCAGGAAACUGGGGCUAAUACCGGAUAGGAGCUCCUGCUGCAUGGUGGGGGUUGGAAAGUUUCGGCGGUUGGGGAUGGACUCGCGGCUUAUCAGCUUGUUGGUGGGGUAGUGGCUUACCAAGGCUUUGACGGGUAGCCGGCCUGAGAGGGUGACCGGCCACAUUGGGACUGAGAUACGGCCCAGACUCCUACGGGAGGCAGCAGUGGGGAAUAUUGCACAAUGGGCGGAAGCCUGAUGCAGCAACGCCGCGUGCGGGAUGACGGCCUUCGGGUUGGAAACCGCUUUCGCCUGUGACGAAGCGUGAGUGACGGUAAUGGGUAAAGAAGCACCGGCUAACUACGU